ACACUAUUCGUCUAGAGGUUAGGACGCUAGGUUUUCAGCCUAGAAACACGAGUUCGAUUCUCGUAUAGUGUA
rnacentral:tRNA from 1 species